GACUCCCUUCCGACUCCGCGCCUGCGCAGGAAGCGAUUUGGGGAGUGUUGUGAAUUCCGAGGGCUCCACACUUAAGAGGUUGUACACUCACCUGUCUACCUGGACUCCAAUUUCCAUAUUUCCAGCCACUUGAGGACUGAGAGGUGGAUGAUAAACCCUGUCAUAGUGGAGCAAGUUCAGGUGUUUAACCGCUGUUAUGGGGGAUCUGCCUUUUCUCCCUCUUCUUUCUUACUUCCAUAAGUAUGUAUGUGCAGAGAUUGAAAAAUAACCUUGAGAGAGUCCAUCCAUCUAACUCCAGUUCAUUGGAAAUUUCUGCUUCUUUGAGACUGAGGUUAUAUUCCACUUCUUCUGACUACACCACCACCAUCAAUCUCCUUCUCUGAACUCUUGGAUCAUUACUUCAACCUGAAACAACUCAUCAGGCAGAAUAGUUGCCUACUGCCCCAACCCCACCAAAUGUUCCAGCACCUCUGAUAUUACCUCACAUGGCAAGAGGGCUUUGAAGAUGUGAUUGAGUCAAGGAUCUUGAAUGGGGAGAUUAUCCUGAAUUAUUCAGCUGGACCCAGUGUAAUCACAAAGGUUUUUCAAAGAUGGAAGAGAGGCAGAAGAGCCAGAAAAGGAUAUGUGACAAUGGAGUCAGUGUCAGAGUUGGAGUGACGUGAUGUGAGAAGGAUUCAACCUGCUGUUUCUGGCUUUGAGGAUGAAAGAAGGGGCCAUGAGCCAAGCAAUACAGGUGGCUUCUUUCAAGAAGUUGGAAAAGUGGUAAUAUUUUAUGUUAUUUUGGUUUGAUUUUUGUUUGUGGCAUAUGGCUCUGCUGUCCUGUGACUCUAAGUAGAAGAGAAAAUAGUGCCAAUAAUUCUUCAUGGAGAUGCACCUCUCUCAAGUCUUGAACAAUGUUUGAGGAAACAUUGCAGCGUUAUAAGAGAAAUUAUAGACUAUUUGUUGAAGCUCAGCAUGUCCAUCUCCCUGCUUUGAAGAAGGAUGUUGGGAACUGACUGUAA
rnacentral:lncRNA from 10 species